ACCAGCAGCCAUAUCACCUUGCAACUCCCAAUUGGCAGCCCACUGUAGCUAGGCAGGUGUGAGCCUGGUCAGUACCUGGGUGGGAGACCUCCUGGGAAAAAAAUGAGGUUGCUGCUGGAA
rnacentral:rRNA from 1 species